GUUCUUCCUUGGCCGAAAGGCCUGGGUAAUCUUGUGAAACUCUGUCGUGCUGGGGAUAGAGCAUUGCAAUUAUUGCUCUUCAACGAGGAAUCCCUAGUAAGCGCAAGUCAUCAACUUGCGCUGAUUACGUCCCUGCCCUUUGUACACACCGCCCGUCGCUACUACCGAUUGAAUGGCUCAGUGAGGCUUCCGGACUGGCCCAGAGGGGUGGGCAACUACCCUUCCGGGCCGGAAAGCUAUCCAAACUCGGUCAUUUAGAGGAAGUAAAAGUCGUAACAAGGUCUCCGUUGGUGAACCAGCGGAGGGAUCAUUACAGAGUUUUUAACUCCCAACCCUUGCGAACCGUACCCCGUUCUGUUCUCGUUGCUUCUGGCGGGAGGGGAGGGGCGCGUCCUUCGGGGCGUGCCUCUCUCUCCCAGGUCCCUUCGGGGCGCCCGCCAGCGGCCGCGAGCCGCCUGAACUUUUUAUAAACCAGUAACGAAACGUCUGAGAAACAAACAAAAACAGCCAAAACUUUCAACAACGGAUCUCUUGGCUCUGGCAUCGAUGAAGAACGCAGCGAAAUGCGAUACGUAAUGCGAAUUGCAGAAUUCAGCGAGUCAUCGAAUCUUUGAACGCACAUUGCGCCCGCCAGCAUUCUGGCGGGCAUGCCUGUCCGAGCGUCAUUUCCCCCCUCAGCAUACCCUUUGGGUGCGCUGGCGUUGGGGCUCCUCCGCCCUCUGUGGCGGCAGGGCCCUCAAAACCAGUGGCGGGCCCGUCUGGUUGGCUCCGAGCGCAGUACCGAACGCAAGUUCUCUCUCUCGCUCUGCAGCCCCGGUCGGUGCCCAGCCGUCAAACCGCGCAGGAGGCUCUGCUUGCAGAACCGCCUCGCAUUUUUACAAGGUUGACCUCGGAUCAGGUAGGAUUACCCGCUGAACUUAAGCAUAUCAAUAAGCGGAGGAAAAGAAACCAACAGGGAUUGCCCCAGUAACGGCGAGUGAAGCGGCAACAGCUCAAAUUUGAAAUCUGGCCUUCGGGUCCGAGUUGUAAUUUGGAGAGGAUGCUUUUGGCGCGGCGCCGUCCGAGUUCCUUGGAACAGGACGCCAUAGAGGGUGAGAGCCCCGUACGGGCGGCCGCCUAGCCUUUGUAAAGCUCCUUCGACGAGUCGAGUAGUUGGGAAUGCUGCUCNAAAUGGGGA
rnacentral:rRNA from 1 species